CACACACACACACACACACACACACACACUGGGAGUGGAAUGGCGGUAUCAAAGGGGCUGUCUAGGCCUGGCCUCAGCCUCAUCAGCUGAAUGGUUAACAUGAGGGAUUGACCAUACUAGCAUCAUAUGAUGUAUAUCAAAUGACUAUGAUACUUAUCAAUGACUAUGAUGCUUAUCAAAUGACUAUGGUACUUAUCAAUGACUAUGAUGCUUAUCAAAUGACUAUGGUACUUAUCAAAUGACUAUGGUGCUUAUCAAUGACUAUGAUGCUUAUCAAAUGACUAUGAUGCUUAUCAAAUUACUAUGAUGCUUAUCAAAUGACUAUGAUGCGUAUCAAAUGACUAUGAUGCUUAUCAGUGACUAUGAUGCUUAUCAAAUGACUAUGGUGCUUAUCAAUGACUAUGAUGCUUAUCAAUGACUAUGAUGCUUAUCAAAUGACUAUGGUGCUUAUCAAAUGACUAUGAUGCUUAUCAAAUGACUAUGAUGCGUAUCAAAUGACUAUGAUGCUUAUCAGUGACUAUGAUGCUUAUCAAAUGACUAUGAUGCUUAUCAAUGACUAUGAUGCUUAUCAAAUGACUAUGAUGCUUAUCAAUGACUAUGAUGCUUAUCAAAUGACUAUGAUGCGUAUCAAAUGACUAUGGUGCGUAUCAAAUGACUAUGGUGCUUAUCAGUGACUAUGAUGCUUAUCAAAUGACUAUGAUGCUUAUCAAUGACUAUGAUGCUUAUCAAAUGACUAUGAUGCUUAUCAAAUGACUAUGAUGCUUACCAAAUGACUAUGGUGCUUAUCAAAUGACUAUGAUGCGUAUCAAAUGACUAUGAUGCUUAUCAGUGACUAUGAUGCUUAUCAAAUGACUAUGAUGCUUAUCAAUGACUAUGAUGCUUAUCAAAUGACUAUGAUGCGUAUCAAAUGACUAUGGUGCUUAUCAAUGACUAUGAUGCUUAUCAAAUGACUAUGAUGCGUAUCAAAUGACUAUGGUGCUUAUCAGUGACUAUGAUGCUUAUCAAAUGACUAUGAUGCUUAUCAAUGACUAUGAUGCUUAUCAAAUGACUAUGAUGCUUAUCAAAUGAUUAUGAUGCUUACCAAAUUACUAUAAUGCUUAUCAAAUGAGCGGAAACUACACAGAUUUAAUGGGACCCUAGGCUAGAUUCAGGAGAAAGCUUCAUACUAAUGCAAUAUAUUAAGACAUAUAUUGGUGUACAUUCAGUUGCUGUAGUGCCACCAUAUUUGGAUAUUAUUUUGUGUUCCUAGUACUCGCAGGUCAACAAGGAUAACACACUGAAACAUCCAGACCUUCAGACGCCCACCAAUGUUGAUGCUAAGCUGCAUUCCACAAGCCAAUAUUCACUGGAAUAUAUUGACUGCACAUCUCUGACUGUACAUCUCUGACUGCACAUCUCUGACUGCACAUCUCUGACUGCACAUCUCUGACUGCACAUCUCUGGGUAGGAGAGGAGAGCUGAGUCCUUAUUGCCAGGCUGGACAGUCUCUCUGCUGCUUUGACUGGUGUCUUCCAGCCUGGUUGGGAACUAGUAUUACAUGGAAACCUGGUUGAUUUCCUAUAACUCCUGCGUUUUGUGUUUAGACUCCUGUGGCUCAUAUUAUAGUACUACAGCCAUCCACCCAUAUUACAGUGACUGCAACACUCAAGGACUAUUUCAGGAUUUCUUUAUUAAGAUGAAAAGUAUAGGCUUUUGUGUCAAAGGCUGUUUUACCAGUAUUGUAGUUUGAUACUGGAGUCAGGCUAGAGAGGUACUGUUUUUUACUUGAUUUUUAUAACAUAAUGCAUCCUGAAUGAAAUGACAUAUACCCCACACCAUUUACUGGAUGUUAGGUAGGCCUAAUGCAUCCUGAAUUAAAUGACAUAUACCCCACACCAUUUACUGGAUGUUAGGUAGGCCUAAUGCAUCCUGAAUUAAAUGACAUAUACCCCACACCAUUUACUGGAUGUUAGGUAGACCUAAUGCAUCCUGAAUUAAAUGACAUAUACCCCACACCAUUUACUGGAUGUUAGGUAGACCUAAUGCAUCCUGAAUUAUAUGACAUAUACCCCACACCAUUUACUGGAUGUUAGGUAGACCUAAUGCAUCCUGAAUUAAAUGACAUAUACCCAACACCAUUUACUGGAUGGAAAGAGCUGCCCAAUUAUUUAUUCGACUACUAUAACCUCAUGAACAGAUGAAAACCUCAUCAUCUAACAGAAACCUUUCAGGAAAUAGAAAAAAAGGAACAUAUUUUCCACGAGCUUGCAAUUCUAGAGCUUCACAACCUAUUUUGAAUACAUUUUCUUGGUCCUAGAGUCAUGAAAUGUUCCAGGCACAUUGAGUGGAGUUACUGCAUUUAGUAAAUAUAAAAUAAACAAUGGACAAAAAUGGAGUUACCAGGUUUUCAUCAGACAGCGACAUUAUGAUACAAAUACUUAUACUAUGGCCUUUCAUACAUGGCAUGCAAGGUCAACUCCAAAUUUCCCCAAAACUCUCUAAAUCACAUCUCAAAACAGUCUACUUCCCAGACUAGUUAUUAGUUCCCUAAACCCCAGAAUGUAUAUGACAUUAGUAUAUUUACAUAAUGUUGUGUAAGUCCUCUCACUUCUCCCAGCAGGCAGGAAAAGCCUCCUCCAGUCUACCUGUCUCUCUCUCUCUUACCGUGUCCUGUAUGUAGGCCACUAAAUGUGCAGAUAUAUUACUGCAGAUUGGGAAAUGUAUUCUCAAAGCAAGAAUGAAAAUGCUUUAUUUUUGGAGUGCUUGAGCAGCUCACGUUGUAAAACACUUUGUUGACCUCGGCUGUGUUACUGUUUAACCAAGCACUGCUCUGAUGCUGUCCCUGGACUGGACUAUACCCCCCCCCCACACACACACAUACAUACACACACACACACUAACCUGUUAUUGUUGUUUCUCAAAAACCAACCAAAUGGGGACACUAUUUGUGUACAAGACGCAAGGGGAAAUAUGUCUGUUGAGUUUGUAUUCUAUGACGUAUGCAACAUUACAAAGUCAAUCUGGCCAGACAAACGCCGUGUUUUAGCCAAGAAUAACACACUCUGAGCAAUUCAGGUUUCCACAAACAGCCAAUACAUUAACAUAGUUUAAUACUUUAGCUUAGCACGGUUUGUGGAGAGAUGCUAUCGUAACCUACUGAACCUACUGGGGUGUUGCUGAACGCUUGAAUAAAUUGACUUAUUUUAUUUAGAAAAUAUUUCCCAUUUAAAGAUGUGCUGCUUCUUCCAGCUGAUUUUGAUCAGAUUUUAAUAUGAGCCUCUCUCUCCACCCCCUCUCUCUUUCUCUCUCUCUCUCUUUCUUUCCACGCAGGAGCACCAGGGUCCCCUCGCCACCCCUCCACUCCCGCCCCUUGGCCCCCAUGCCCCCCACCCUCUAACCCCCUCUUCCAGAGGUAAGGGCCUCAGUGUGUGUUCUCUCCCCUCCUCUACCCACCCCAGCAGCGGACGCACAACACAAGCGUCUCCCCAGCUUCCGCUUCCUCCGCGCUGCUGCACCACUGCUGGAGUAUUCACGCUCCAGGCUGUUUUCUUUGAGAGACUAUAAAAAUAUGCAAAUGGCUAUUGUUAAGAGCGAAAAGUAGAGGGUAUUUUUCUCCCCGUACGCCGCUUGUGUUCCUGGUGAGUAUAAUGUGCAGAGAGGGCUGAGGGGUUUCCUUCAGUCUUUAGUCUCUCUCUCUCACACACAGACUCACAAAGACAGAGCUGGAGAUGACCAGGUACAGAGGAAGGAUAUUAGAAAUAUUCUCUCAGGAAGCCAUUGUCUCUUUCCAUUGUGGUCAUAUUCGUAAGAGAAUAUGACCACAACUGUGUAAGAGAGAGAGAGAGAGCGAGAAAGAGAAAGAGAGAGAGAAGAGAGAGAGAGAGAGAGAGAGAGAGAGAGAGAGAGAGAGUGAGAGGGGUAUUAGGAUGAAAUCCAAGCUACACCACGGGUAGUAGCAGCUAGGAAGUCAGGCCUUUAUAUAAAGUCCCUGAGCAGAGAGCGAGAGAGCGAGAGAGUGAGUGAGAGAGAGUGAGAGAAGAGAGAGAGAAAGUUAGUAAGGAGACACAUUUGUAAAGCCCUCACGGUCUCAAGCAGGAAGACUUUUUGAAGUGAUUAUGGAGACAGUUCAGAUCAAAGGAUUUGACAAGUCUGAGUGCUCGCCAAAUACGAGCCGGGCUAAUCACACUGAAACCCUCCGUACAAGACACCACUGGUCCCUCCAGCUGCUUUGCAAAUGUAACGUGACACUUAGGGAUAAACAGAUUAUCAGGGGACAUAAGAGAAAAAAAAACCUCUCAGACUAGUAGAAGUGAAAUAGUUUAUUUAAUGAACUUGGAGACUACCAAUGUACUGUAUAUGGUGGUGUUGAAUAAUAAUUCAUUUUCUGUAAAGUCCUAAUGACCUAAUUUACAUUUUUUUUAAUACUAGUUCUAUGUUACAUGAGGGAAGGGUAGUUGUUAUGUAGGAUGAUAUUUAGCUUUUUCUAUUUUUUUUUGUAUAAUCCAUAGGCCUAAUCUUCCAAACACCUCAAGACAUUUUGAAACGUAAGCUCAGGGACAUUCUCAAAGUGUCUCUCCUGCAUUCAUUCUCUUUUAAAUGUUGUCAUAAUGUGAUAUCAUAAAUAUAGAGUAAAUUCAUAUGUACAAUUUCCCUUUAUUUCCCUCUUACUUUCACAAAAAUAUUUUAUUUGAUCCUAUUUUCAGUUGUAUCUUAUUCUGCAUUCUAUCAUGAUCAAGAUAAUGUAGAAAUCACAUUUCAAAAGAAUUUACAAUUGGCUGAGAUAUUUCGGCACAAAGUGUGUACCUGUAAAUUAAAUAAUGCAUAUGUAAAUAUGUACCACGCAAACCCAAUAAACAGAACAACCAAACCGUAUGUGUCUCUCUUGUGUCAUGUCACUGGUGACCAGCCGUGUCAUUCCCCAGUGAUCCACUGAGUCCGCUGGGCCAGGGAGUGUCCAGCUGUCCAGUUGUCCAACCAGGGGCCCUCUCCUCUGGGUGACAUCCAUCCCCA
rnacentral:lncRNA from 1 species